CAUCGUUCAAGACGUGUCCUGGUCUCUCGUAGCGGUAGUGGACCAGCAACAUCUGCAAAAACUCCAAAAGGCCAACGCAGAUUACAAGAACCAAGUGAAACACAGCGUGGGAGAACCAUGCUGUUAUCUAGAAGUGAAACAGUAGCUUCAACAUCUUGCACAUGGGUGAUUCACAGAAAGUCAACGUACAGAGAGUCAGGAUGCGGAAAGAAGACACCUUAAAAAAAGACACACCUCAGAGGUUGCCCCAAGGCCUGAACAAACUGUACAGCAAAAACAACCGGAAAAAUUAACUCCUUCACAUAUCCUGGAAAGUAGCACCGGAGUCUCGAUGCCAAUAUUUGGGGACCCAAAGGCCAUUG